AUACGUAGGUGACAAGCGUUAUCCGGAUUUACUGGGCGUAAAGGGCGUGUAGGCGGUCUUGCAAGUCAGAAGUGAAAUUCCUGAGCUCAACUCGGGCGCUGCUUCUGAAACUGCAGGACUUGAGUGCUGGAGGGGAUAGCGGAAUUCCUAGUGGAGCGGUAAAAUGCGCAGAUAUUAGGAAGAACACCGGUGGCGAAGGCGUCUAUCUGGACAGUAACUGACGCUGAGGCGCGAAAGCGUGGGGAGCAAACAGUAUAGAUACCCUGGUAGUCUACGCCGUAAACGAUGAAUACUAGGUGUAGGGGGUAUCGACUCCCUCUGUGCCGCAGUUAACACAAUAAGUAUUCCGCCUGGGGAGUUCGGCCGCAAGGUUGAAACUCAAAUGAAUUGACGGGG
rnacentral:rRNA from 1 species